CACUGUAAAGCUAUCUAGCAUUAACCUUUUAAGUUAAAGAUUGAGAGUUCCCCCUCUCUACAGUG
rnacentral:tRNA from 1 species